UACGAAGGGUGCAAGCGUUACUCGGAAUUACUGGGCGUAAAGGGUGCGUAGGUGGUUUUUAAGUCCGUUGUGAAAUCCCUGGGCUCAACCUGGGAAUGGCAGUGGAUACUGGAAAGCUAGAGUGCGGUAGAGGGUAGUGGAAUUCCCGGUGUAGCAGUGAAAUGCGUAGAGAUCGGGAGGAACACCAGUGGCGAAGGCGGCUACCUGGACCAGCACUGACACUGAGGCACGAAAGCGUGGGGAGCAAACAGG
rnacentral:rRNA from 1 species